rnacentral:rRNA from 1 species
AGUGAACGCUGGCGGCAUGCCUAACACAUGCAAGUCGAACGGCAGCACGGUAGGUGGCUGCUGGUGCGGAGUGGCGAACGCGUGCGUAAUACAUAGACACAUGUCUUGACUUUUGGGAUAGGGAGACGGAAGCGGGACUAACGCUACUACCGAACAACGCCUACAAGCGGGAGCCGUGGAGCUCCGGACCUAGCGGGAUUGCCGGUGGCGAUGUCGGAUUAGCUAGUUGGCGGGGUAAAGGCCUACCAAGGCGACGAUCAGUAGCUGGUCUGAGAGGAUGAUCAGCCACACUGGAACUGAGACACGGUCCAGACUCCUACGGGAGGCAGCAGUGGGGAAUAUUGGACAAUGGGCGCAAGCCUGAUCCAGCAAUGCCGCGUGUGUGAAGAAGGCCUUCGGGUUGUAAAGCACUUUUGUUGGGAAAGAAAAGCUUGGGCUUAAUACGGUGGGGGGCUGACGGUACCGAAAGAAUAAGCACCGGCUAACUACGUG